rnacentral:rRNA from 1 species
UCUUUCUUUGCUGGCGACCGGCGCACGGGUGAGUAACACGUAUCCAACCUGCCCUUUACUCGGGGAUAGCCUUUCGAAAGAAAGAUUAAUACCCGAUAGCAUAAUGAUUCCGCAUGGUUUCAUUAUUAAAGGAUUCCGGUAAAGGAUGGGGAUGCGUUCCAUUAGGUUGUUGGUGAGGUAACGGCCCACCAAGCCUUCGAUGGAUAGGGGUUCUGAGAGGAGGGUCCCCCACAUUGGAACUGAGACACGGUCCAA